rnacentral:rRNA from 1 species
AACGAACGCUGGCGGCAUGCCUAACACAUGCAAGUCGAACGAGACCUUCGGGUCUAGUGGCGCACGGGUGCGUAACGCGUGGGAACCUGCCCUUAGGUUCGGAAUAACUCCCCGAAAGGGGUGCUAAUACCGGAUAAUGUCUUCGGACCAAAGAUUUAUCGCCUUUGGAUGGGCCCGCGUUGGAUUAGCUAGUUGGUAGGGUAAAAGACUACCAAGGCGACGAUCCAUAGCUGGUCUGAGAGGAUGAUCAGCCACACUGGGACUGAGACACGGCCCAGACUCCUACGGGAGGCAGCAGUGGGGAAUAUUGGACAAUGGGCAAAAGCCUGAUCCAGCAAUGCCGCGUGAGUGAUGAAGGCCUUAGGGUUGUAAAGCUCUUUUACCCGGGAUGAUAAUGACAGUACCGGGAGAAUAAGCUCCGGCUAACUCCGUG